rnacentral:rRNA from 1 species
AUUGAACGCUGGCGGUAGGCCUAACACAUGCAAGUCGAGCGGAUGAAGGGAGCUUGCUCCUGGAUUCAGCGGCGGACGGGUGAGUAAUGCCUAGGAAUCUGCCUGGUAGUGGGGGAUAACGUCCGGAAACGGGCGCUAAUACCGCAUACGUCCUGAGGUAGAAAGUGGGGGAUCUUCGGACCUCACGCUAUUAGCUGAGCCUAGGUCGGAUUAGCUAGUUGGUGGGGUAAAGGCCUACCAAGGCGACGAUCCGUAACUGGUCUGAGAGGAUGAUCAGUCACACUGGAACUGAGACACGGUCCAGACUCCUACGGGAGGGAGCAGUGGGGAAUAUUGGACAAUGGGCGAAAGCCUGAUCCAGCCAUGCCGCGUGUGUGAAGAAGGUCUUCGGAUUGUAAAGCACUUUAAGUUGGGAGGAAGGGCAGUAAGUUAAUACCUUGCUGUUUUGACGUUACCAACAGAAUAAGCACCGGCUAACUUCGUG